rnacentral:rRNA from 1 species
AAUGAACGUUGGCGGCGUGGAUUAGGCAUGCAAGUCGUGCGAGAAUCGUAGCAAUACGAGGACAGCGGCGAAAGGGAGAGGAACACGUGGAUACCUACCCUCGGGAUCGGGAUAGCUGCGGGAAACUGCAGGUAAUACCGAAUAACAUCUUCGGAUCAAAGGUGUGAUUCCGCCCGGGGACGGGUCCGCGUCCUAUUAGCUAGUUGGUGGGGUAACGGCCUACCAAAGCACAGAUGGGUACGGGGUGUGAGAGCAUGCCCCCGCUCACUGGGACCGAGAUACUGCCCAGACACCUACGGGUGGCUGCAGUCGAGAAUCUUCGGCAAUGGGCGCAAGCCUGACCGAGCGACGCCGCGUACGGGAUGGAGGCCUUCGGGUUGUAAACCGUUGUCAGUGGGGAGGAAAUGUCGGUGGGUUCUCCCAUCGAUUUGACCUAUCCGCAGAGGAAGGACGGGCUAAGUUCGUGCCAGCCGCCGCGGUAACAC